CUGCUGAAGACUUACUGUCAUAAAAUCAGAAAACAUGCCAGAAGCCACAGGAAGAGUUGGAAUUGUUGAAAGAAAUAGCAAGCUGGCUCCUGGCUGAGCACAGUGGACAGCUGCAGGCGGCCAGGACACUGGUGAAGGACGCAGAAGGAAAGAGCCAGGAAAGCGACCGUCUGCUGCUCGUGGCCAGCGCCAACCUGAGAGAGUUUGAGGUAUUGCAUUGGAACUGAGUAAAUUGAGAAAUACAGCAAACAUUUCAGAAGAACGCUGAUAAAAUUACCAGGCAGACCAGUGAAUCACUCUCGAUACAUAGAGCAAUUCCUGAAGAUGUGGGACACAAAGGAGCCAGAACUAAAGAGCUGGCCACAUCUGUAAACCGGAGCGCUGUGAGCACGCUGGCAGAUGUGGCAGGGGGUUGAGCUGGAAGCUGCUCAACACGUCGACUGGCCUGUCCAGGGUCAACGCCACAUUGUGAGAGACAAACAAGCUCCUACAUGACUCGAACCUGACCACUGUGUUAGUGGAAAGAAAAGUUAAAGAUGUGGAAACACAAGCCAACCUUCUAUUUGAUCGGUUGAAACCUUUGAAGAUUUUAGAAGAGAAUCUGAACAGAAACCUUUCCGAAAUUAAACUGCUGAUCAGCCAGGCCCGGAAACAAGCAGCUUCUCUCCCAGAAUGAAGACUCUUCCUUCCAUUUUGAUGGGAGUGGGUACUCUCUUGUGGAGAAGACGCUUCAGGCGACUGUGACCCAGAUAAUAAUGCUCUUCAGUACCUUUUCACCCAAU